AUUGAACGCUGGCGGCAGGCCUAACACAUGCAAGUCGAACGAGUGGCGGACGGGUGAGUAAUGACUGUGCAACUGCCUGGUGGAGGGGGAUAAGUACUGGAAACGGUAGCUAAUACCGCCUUCCAUCGGAUGUGCCCAGAUGGGAAUAGCUAGUAGGUGGGGUAAAGGCGCACCUAGGCGACGAUCCCUAGCUGGUCUGAGAGGAUGACCAGCCACACUGGAACUGAGACACGGUCCAGACUCCUACGGGAGGCAGCAGUGGGGAAUAUUGCACAAUGGGCGAAAGCCUGAUGCAGCCAUGCCGCGUGUAUGAAGAAGGCCUUCGGGUUGUAAAGUACUUUCAGCGGGGAGGCGUUACCCGCAGAAGAAGCACCGGCUAACUCCGUGCCAGCAGCCGCGGUAAUAC
rnacentral:rRNA from 1 species